rnacentral:rRNA from 1 species
UGUAAUCUUAGUGGCGGACGGGUGAGUAACGCGUGGGUAACCUGCCUUACACUGGGGGAUAACACUUAGAAAUAGGUGCUAAUACCGCAUAAGCGCACGAAGCCGCAUGGAUUUGUGUGAAAAACUCCGGUGGUGUAAGAUGGACCCGCGUCUGAUUAGCUUGUUGGCGGGGUAACGGCCCACCAAGGCGACGAUCAGUAGCCGGCCUGGGAGGGUGGACGGCCACAUUGGGACUGAGACACGGCCCAAACUCCUACGGGAGGCAGCAG